CCUACGGGUGGCAGCAGUCGAGAAUCAUUCACAAUGGGGGAAACCCUGAUGGUGCGACGCCGCGUGGGGGAAUGAAGGUCUUCGGAUUGUAAACCCCUGUCAUGUGGGAGCAAAUUAAAAAGAUAGUACCACAAGAGGAAGAGACGGCUAACUCUGUGCCAGCAGCCGCGGUAAUACAGAGGUCUCAAGCGUUGUUCGGAAUCACUGGGCGUAAAGCGUGCGUAGGCUGUUUCUUAAGUAGUGUGUGAAGGGCGCGGCCUAAACCCGCGGACGGAACAUGAUAUUGCGAGACUAGAGUAAUGGAGGGGGAACCGGAAUUCUCGGUGUAGCAGUGAAAUGCGUAGAUAUCGAGAGGAACACUCGUGGCGAAGGCGGGUUCCUGGACAUUAACUGACGCUGAGGCUCGAAAGCGCGGGUAUCGAACAGGAUUAGAUACCCCAGUAGUC
rnacentral:rRNA from 1 species